CCUACGGGAGGCAGCAGUGAGGAAUAUUGGUCAAUGGCCGGAAGGCUGAACCAGCCAAGCCGCGUGAAGGACGAAGGUGCCAAGCAUUGUAAACUUCUUUUGUCAAGGGACAAAAUCAGGCUCGAGGGCCUGACCGAGGGUACUUGAAGAAAAAGCAUCGGCUAACUCCGUGCCAGCAGCCGCGGUAAUACGGAGGAUGCGAGCGUUAUCCGGAUUUAUUGGGUUUAAAGGGUGCGUAGGCGGGCUGUUAAGUCAGCGGUAAAAGCCCGGGGCUCAACCCCGGCGAGCCGUUGAUACUGGCAGCCUUGAGUACAGUUGAGGUAGGCGGAAUGCGUGGUGUAGCGGUGAAAUGCUUAGAUAUCACGAAGAACUCCGAUUGCGAAGGCAGCCUACUAAACUGCCACUGACAUGGAUGCUCGAAAGUGUGGGUAUCAAACAGGAUUAGAUACCCUGUUAGUC
rnacentral:rRNA from 1 species